AUUGAACGCUGGCGGCAGGCCUAACACAUGCAAGUCGAACGGAUGAACAGAACUUGCUUCUUGUUUCAGCUGCCGACUGGUGAACAAUGCCGGAGUACCUCGCAGGCUACUGUUUAUAACGUCAUGACACAGGGACUAAUACCGCAUACGCCCAUAGGAAGAAAGUGGGAGAUCUUCGGACCUCACGCUCUCGCAUGAGCCUAGGUCGGAUUAGCUGGUUGGUGGGGUAAAGGCGUACCAAGGCGACGAUCCGUAGCUGGUCUGAGAGGAUGAUCAGCCACACUGGAACUGAGACACGGUCCAGACUCCUACGGGAGGCAGCAGUGGGGAAUAUUGGACAAUGGGCGCAAGCCUGAUCCAGCCAUGCCGCGUGUGUGAAGAAGGUCUUCGGGUUGUAAAGCCCUUUAGGUUGGGAGGAAAGGCAGUAAGUUAAUACCUCGCUGUUCUGACGUUACCAAAAGAAUAAGCACCGGCUAACUUCGUG
rnacentral:rRNA from 1 species